rnacentral:rRNA from 1 species
ACACUCCUACGGGAGGCAGCAGUGGGGAAUAUUGCACAAUGGGCGCAAGCCUGAUGCAGCCAUGCCGCGUGUAUGAAGAAGGCCUUCGGGUUGUAAAGUACUUUCAGCGGGGAGGAAGGCGAUAAGGUUAAUAACCUUGUUGAUUGACGUUACCCGCAGAAGAAGCACCGGCUAACUCCGUGCCAGCAGCCGCGGUAAUACGGAGGGUGCAAGCGUUAAUCGGAAUUACUGGGCGUAAAGCGCACGCAGGCGGUCUGUCAAGUCGGAUGUGAAAUCCCCGGGCUCAACCUGGGAACUGCAUUCGAAACUGGCAGGCUAGAGUCUUGUAGAGGGGGGUAGAAUUCCAGGUGUAGCGGUGAAAUGCGUAGAGAUCUGGAGGAAUACCGGUGGCGAAGGCGGCCCCCUGGACAAAGACUGACGCUCAGGUGCGAAAGCGUGGGGAGCAAACAGGAUUAGAUACCCCAGUAGUCCCAUG